GGGCGAUUGGCGCAGUUGGUUAGCGCAGGUGCUUUACACGCACAAGGUUGGGGGUUCGAGUCCCUCAUCGCCCACCA
rnacentral:tRNA from 1 species